rnacentral:misc_RNA from 1 species
GCUUAGCCAUGGCUAUGCAAACCGGAAUCGGCCUUUCCAGGAUCAUUGUCCUCGCCGGUGCAGGAUUCACCGGUACGGUCCUCUUUAAAAACGGUAAAUUAUCUGACCUGAUCGGUGAACUUCAGUCGCUGGUGAAGGGACUGGAAAAAUCUGGGGAAUCUGCAGAUGGUGAUUCUCACUACAGUGAUGCCAUUGCUCAACAGGUGAAGCGUUUGGCAAUGGAGGUUCGGCAACUGGCCUCAGCAAGGCAAAUAACUGUUCUCAAUGGGAGUUCUGGCCAAAUGGGCAACUUAACUGGUCUCAUAGUUCCAGCUACUGCCUUAGGGGCAUUGGGUUAUGGUUACAUGUGGUG